UGGUCGUCACCGAAGUUUAGGAACUCUUUCUCAAUUGUUGUGGACAUUGUCAUGAAAAAAAUUACCCACUGGGUUUCUGCCUGGUACCUUUCUAAUCAUGCCUAUUGGGAGCAUUC
rnacentral:snoRNA from 14 species